rnacentral:rRNA from 1 species
GAUGAACGCUGGCGGCGUGCCUAAUACAUGCAAGUCGAGCGAACGGACGAGAAGCUUGCUUCUCUGAUGUUAGCGGCGGACGGGUGAGUAACACGUGGAUAACCUACCUAUAAGACUGGGAUAACUUCGGGAAACCGUAGCUAAUACCGGAUGAUAUUUUGAACCGCAUGGUUCAAAAGUGAAAGACGGUCUUGCUGUCUCUUAUAGAUGGAUCCGCGCUGCAUUAGCUAGUUGGUAAGGUAACGGCUUACCAAGGCAACGUUGCAUAGCCGACCUGAGAGGGUGGUCGGCCACACUGGAACUGAGACACGGUCCAGAGUCCUAGGGGAGGCAGCAGUAGGGAAUCUUCCGCAAGGGGCGAAAGCCUGACGGAGCAACGCCGCGUGAGUGAUGAGGGUCUUCGGAUCGUAAAACUCUGUUAUUAGGGAAGAACAUAUGUGUAAGUAACUGGGCACAUCUUGACGGUACCUAAUCAGAAAGCCACGGCUAACUACGGG